rnacentral:rRNA from 1 species
CAUAUCAAUAAGCGGAGGAAAAGAAACUAACAAGGAUUCCCCUAGUAACUGCGAGUGAAGCGGGAAGAGCUCAAAUUUAAAAUCUGGCGGUCUCUGGCCGUCCGAGUUGUAAUCUAGAGAAGUGCUGCCCGCGCUGGACCGUGUACAAGUCUCCUGGAAUGGAGCGUCAUAGAGGGUGAGAAUCCCGUCUCUGACACGGACUACCAGGGCUUUGUGGUACGCUCUCAAAGAGUCGAGUUGUUUGGGAAUGCAGCUCAAAAUGGGUGGUAAAUUCCAUCUAAAGCUAAAUAUUGGCGAGAGACCGAUAGCGAACAAGUACCGUGAGGGAAAGAUGAAAAGAACUUUGGAAAGAGAGUUAAACAGUACGUGAAAUUGCUGAAAGGGAAACGCUUGAAGUCAGUCGCGUUGGCCGGGGAUCAGCCUCGCUUUUGCGUGGUGUAUUUUCUGGUUGACGGGUCAGCAUCAAUUUUGACYGCUGGAAAAAGGCUUGGGGAAUGUGGCAGCUUCGGCUGUGUUAUAGCCCCUUGUCACAUACAGCGGUUGGGAUUGAGGAACUCAGCACGCCGCAAGGCCGGGUUUCGACCACGUUCGUGCUUAGGAUGCUGGCAUAAUGGCUUUAAGCGACCCGUCUUGAAACACGGACCAAGGAGUCUAACAUGCCUGCGAGUGUUUGGGUGGAAAACCCGAGCGCGUAAUGAAAGUGAAAGUUGAGAUCCCUGUCGUGGGGAGCAUCGACGCCCGGACCAGAACUUUUGGGACGGAUCCGCGGUAGAGCAUGUAUGUUGGGACCCGAAAGAUGGUGAACUAUGCCUGAAUAGGGUGAAGCCAGAGGAAACUCUGGUGGAGGCUCGUAGCGAUUCUGAC